GGACUUCUGAAAUAGUACUUUUUAAUUAUUAUAUAUCAUGUUCUUUUUCUUUGUUGCUCAAGUCUGUUUACUAUUAAACUUUUCUAGAAUGGGAUGCUAUGCACAAAGUUACAGUUAUAGGUAAGGGAUUUUUGAUGUCAUUUAUUGUAUUCCUGUUUGAAAAUUAAGUUGAAACAUGUGAAGGAAUUUUGACAUUGUAUUAUUUGUAUAUUGAAUUGACUUUGUACACACACCAUCCUGUUUGUAUUGCUGGACAAUCAGUGUCUUGUACUCUGAUAUUUACACUGCAACGUUUGCAUGAGUACUUUUUUCCAUUAUAAUUCCCAACUGAUUUGGAUUUAUCUUGUGAUUAUCAUUUCUUGAAGCAGGGAUAACUUUAGGUAUGGGACA
rnacentral:misc_RNA from 1 species